GAUUUUUACACUACCAAUUUUCCUUCUUCGGUAUUUUUUUCUAUUUUUCUUAUUCAAGUUCAUAUACUUACUACUUAUCAAUAAAUAAGAGGGAAUAGCAAACAUCAAUAUGUGUGCUUUUUUGGAAUCAAAGGUUAGUUUGAGGAUAUACUUUUUUCAUUUCAAAUAUGUUAAGUCCAUCCUUGGCUCUCACUAUAAAACUUAACACGUGGAGCUCUAAUUUUAACAUGUGUCAGUCACCGCUGGGUUUUCAGUUCAAUCUAACACUCUGCGCCUCUAACGCCAUCCAGAGUCCAGACCAUCUGCUCACCAUCUCCUGUUGUUUGCAACUGGGUGUAUUUUCUUCAGUGGAUUGUAUUUUGUGCUGGGUUGUACUGAUAGAAUGGAAUAAAACUUACGAUAAACGAAAUUACACCAUCGACUAAAGAAUAGACUUGUAAAGUUCAGCCCAUGGACGAAUUCCGGCCAAGAGAAAGCAGGGAUCAGCGAGUUCAUUUUCAGACAAUAAUUGUUCCAGAUGAAAACGUAAGUGAUGCUACAAUUAUAAAUGGAAUAAAUAGUUGUGAAUAUUGUGUGCCUGUGUUUGUCAAGGCAAUUGGUACUACUUUUGGAUAUUGUAGCGGCCUGCUGAUGUUGUACAUUAACAUCUUAUAACUAUAAUGCAUGUACAUUUGUGAAAGUUUACAAUAUUUAUCGCAUGGCUUUUCCCUUUAUACUGCCGAUGUCUACUCUUACUAUAUUGUUGCAAUAUAAGUCUUUUUGCUUGGCUGAAGUGUUUAUUAUUGAACAUCAGUAAAUAUGUUAAAAAUUAUAUUACGGUUAAAUACUUGGUACAUACUACGUUAUUGAGCCAGGGCUAUGCACGGGCUACUACCCGGUAGACUAUAUUAGAAAUGCAGGUUAACAGGUGAAGCAGUCAGCUCUUUGUCGACGUCUCUCCUUGCUGCUGUAGGACAUUGGUCAUUAAUAAGAAUUUUGCAGCAAUUGGAAACUACUCAUACUAAUAAUCGCGGCUUCAACUUUACGUUUAUCCUUUAGUUUUGCAUUUUUUAGUCACUUUCUCUUGAAUGUAGCUACCUUCUUCCUACUGCUUUUAACCUUAGAUCCAUUUGUUAUCUAAUAUUCUCAAUUCUUGCUUAGUUUGAAUUGUUUCCUCCAGCAUCCAGGUAAAUUAUUUCAAUUUAACAGUUUACACUUGA